rnacentral:rRNA from 1 species
GACGAACGCUGGCGGCGUGCUUAACACAUGCAAGUCGAACGGAAAGGCCCCUUUGGGGGUACUCGAGUGGCGAACGGGUGAGUAACACGUGAGUAACCUGCCCUUGACUUCGGGAUAACUUCAGGAAACUGGGGCUAAUACCGGAUAGGAAUCCUUGCUGCAUGGUGGGGGUUGGAAAGCUUCGGCGGUUUUGGAUGGACUCGCGGCUUAUCAGCUUGUUGGUGGGGUAGUGGCUUACCAAGGCUUUGACGGGUAGCCGGCCUGAGAGGGCGACCGGCCACAUUGGGACUGAGGUGCGGCCCAGGCUCCUACGGGAGGCAGCAGUGGGGAAUAUUGCACAAUGGGCGGAAGCCUGAUGCAGCAACGCCGCGUGCGGGAUGGCGGCCUUCGGGUUGUAAACCGCUUUCAGCAGGGGCGAAGCUUGUGGUGACGGUACCUGCAGAAGAAGCACCGGCUAACUACGUG